GAUGCUCCUAGCACUUCCUGAGGACUCCAAGCACUGCAGCAGACACCAAAACCACCGAACCGGAGAAACAAAUAAAUUCUCCCAAGCAUAUGAAUGCUGUACACAGUUGAAUAGGAACCAUACAAAUAGGUUUACUCUCCUAGCAGUCAAACUGGAACAGCAUACAAUAAAUCCUUCCCCCAAUAAUGAGACAACACUUCACUUUGAGGGUUAAAACAGGAACUCC